rnacentral:lncRNA from 1 species
GGCACGCAUGAUAAUGACAUUCUUUGUACAGUAAAAGGGCCUUAGGGUGGUCAUUAUGAUUAUGUACAAUUGAAAACUUAAAAGUGCAGGUCGUCUGUCAAAUUGAGAUAAAAAAAAAAAACAAUCACAAACAUCUUAAUAAUUUAGAAUGAAUGUUUUAUUCUAUUGUGGUUGUUUAUAAAUACUUAACGAUCAUUUAUAGCUGUAGGAGUACAAAUAGUGUAAUUACCUCUCACCGUUAAUUUUACAAAACAUAACAUAAUAUAUACAUGAAUACAUAUAUAUAUAUAAUACUUCGGUACUGGCAUAAAAAUACGGAUUUUGUGUUAUUAUUGAUUGUCAAAAUCCGAAUCUUCUACAGCCAAAUAAGUUCCGUUCAUGUUAUAAAUAAUAUAAAAUAUUAUUGAUAUUCUUAAAAGAUUAAUGAGCGAAUGGAAUUUAAAAAAAAUGAAUAUCAAUGUUCAUUUAAAUUUGCAAACUUCUUUUAAAAUGAAUACUAAAAGUUGAGCGAUAUAAAAAAGACAUAUUCUAUCUAAAAAAUGCCCAUUUUAGCACAAUAAAUUGUAAUACAAUCAUAGUCACUGCAGUGCCUAGAACAAUAGAAACUUUUCAAAAGUGUGUAUGUUCUAACAAAAUUCUAACAAUACAAGUACCUCGGUUUCAACAAUGUUUUAUACCUGUUCAAAAAUAUUCGUUGUUGAAUGGAUAGUCUGUCAAAAAGUCGUCUCUAUGCGGAUCGGUGCAACACCACAAAGAAAAUGCGCAUAGACUCUACUAUGAGAUGGAACUGUUACUUUAUGCAUGUGUUCCACGGUGUACAGAACGCAUUGUUACGAAUUUCAGCACAUUUAUGAAGAUGAUGUUCCAGGUGUACCGGCCGAUACACUGUGUGUUCCGGUGGAAUUUGUCGUCAUAUAUGGUGAUUAAUUUGUUUCGGCCGAUAUAGCUUGCGUUCUUGCAAAAUCUGCUGUUCUGAUGUCUCUUUAAAUAAAUUCAUAAAAUAGUUAAAACUAAAAUUGUUUUACGUAAACAUUUAAAACUUACGGGUAUAGAUAAAAGGAAAUGUGGUGUAUAAGUCCGCCAACAAAAACAAACUCACCUACACAAAAAACAUGAUCAAAACGCAUGUAAAAUUCAACAUACAAUAUGCAAAGAAAGACAUAAAACAAAAAAUAAGUUAGCCCUUAAUCUCCCCGAGUGUAUAAUGAUGUGAAUGAUUUGACAGAGACUUCAAGAAAGCACUGCCAUAACACCAAACAUUUUCCAAGAUCAAGAUCGAGAGAGAGAGAGAGAGAGAGAGAGA